AGUGUAGGCACUACUUCAGCAGCUUCUGCCUGAUCCACCUACAUUCCUCCACACCUCCGUAAUCGUAUGCUUCUUUAGACCCACCAGCCCUAGCUUAUACUGAGCUUGCAUCGAGUAAUGAUCACCAGUGGUAUGGUGAAUCCCGUUGGGGGCUCCCAGAAAUGACUAUCAGUCUGGGUAUGGUGGUGGUAGUAGAACUUGCGGUUGUGGGUUAUGAUUAUCUUGGUGUUUUGGUGAG
rnacentral:misc_RNA from 1 species